AUAGUUUGUGAGAACAUGGUUGAAUAAUUACAAUAAUAGCAUUCUGCCACACAUGGGAAGGGGAAACAACUUAAUAAAGGAAAAGAAAAUUACAAAGAAAAAAAAAACGAGUGGUUGUCACCUUACAUCGGUACUCCUAGUCUAUUCAAGCGCCCAGAUGCUGGAUAAGCUCUGUUUCCAAAGUUGGAUUGUUGAGCAAAUUCCCUUUCUGAAAUAGUGUCUGCAUCAUAAAACCCUUGGACAGGCCUUUUGCUUGAACCAUACUUUUCAAAGUCUAGCCUCUGCUUUGGGGCACUUUGCGAUCUAACCUUAGCCCGAGAGGAUUCUGUGUUAGCCAUGUAGUUCGGGUGACCUGAGUAUCCAUUAAAAAAGCCCCAUGAGCACUCACUCCUUGUGGGUGUAAAAGGACCUCUUCUACCACUACUCCCAGGUCUGUAUGAUGGGGAAAACACAUAAGGGUUGUUCUCCACAUUCCUCAAAACUGCAUCGUCUUUUCCGAGGGGAAAUUUGAGAGAGUUUAACGAUAAAA
rnacentral:misc_RNA from 1 species